UGGACUGCCUUUUGCAUAAUGAGCCUGCGAGUUGUGGUGUCUGGCAAGGUUAAGCAAACGCGAAGCCGUAGCGAAAGCGAGUCUGAAUAGGGCGCUUAGUCAGAUGCUGCAGACCCGAAACGAAGUGAUCUAUCCAUGAGCAAGUUGAAGCUAGUGUAAGAACUAGUGGAGGACUGAACCCAUAGGCGUUGAAAAGCCCCGGGAUGACUUGUGGAUAGGGGUGAAAGGCCAAUCAAACUUCGUGAUAGCUGGUUCUCUCCGAAAUAUAUUUAGGUAUAGCGUUGUGUCGUAAUAUAAGGGGGUAGAGCACUGAAUGGGCUAGGGCAUACACCAAUGUACCAAACCCUAUCAAACUCCGAAUACCUUAUAUGUAAUCACAGCAGUCAGGCGGCGAGUGAUAAAAUCCGUCGUCAAGAGGGAAACAACCCAGACUACCAGCUAAGGUCCCUAAAUCUUACUUAAGUGGAAAACGAUGUGAAGUUACUUAAACAACCAGGAGGUUGGCUUAGAAGCAGCCAUCCUUUAAAGAAAGCGUAAUAGCUCACUGGUCUAGUGAUUUUGCGCGGAAAAUAUAACGGGGCUAAAGUAAGUACCGAAGCUGUAGACUUGCGCACAACUUAGAUUAUUUAAGUUUAGAAUAUGAGAAACUAAGUUAUAUGUUUAGUUAUAUUUUUACUGAUUUUUAUAGAGUAAAGAUAGAAAUAAAACUUAGUAAAAUCAGUAAAAAUAUUCUUAGACUAAAGUUAAGUAGUUUAAGUUGUGUGCAAGUGGUAGGAGAGCGUUCUAUUUGCGUCGAAGGUAUACCGGUAAGGAGUGCUGGAGCGAAUAGAAGUGAGCAUGCAGGCAUGAGUAGCGAUAAUUAAUGUGAGAAUCAUUAACGCCGUAAACCCAAGGUUUCCUACGCGAUGCUCGUCAUCGUAGGGUUAGUCGGGUCCUAAGUCGAGUCCGAAAGGGGUAGACGAUGGCAAAUUGGUUAAUAUUCCAAUACCAACAUUAGUGUGCGAUGGAAGGACGCUUAGGGCUAAGGGGGCUAGCGGAUGGAAGUGCUAGUCUAAGGUCGUAGGAGGUUAUACAGGCAAAUCCGUAUAACAAUACUCCGAGAACUGAAAGGCUUUUUGAAGUCUUCGGAUGGAUAGAAGAACCCCUGAUGCCGUCGAGCCAAGAAAAGUUUCUAAGUUUAGCUAAUGUUGCCCGUACCGUAAACCGACACAGGUGGGUGGGAUGAGUAUUCUAAGGCGCGUGGAAGAACUCUCUUUAAGGAACUCUGCAAAAUAGCACCGUAUCUUCGGUAUAAGGUGUGGUUCGCUUCGUAUUAGGAUUUACUCCGAAAGCGAAGAAACUUACAACAAAGAGUCCCUCCCGACUGUUUACCAAAAACACAGCACUCUGCUAACUCGUAAGAGGAUGUAUAGGGUGUGACGCCUGCCCGGUGCUCGAAGGUUAAUUGAUGGGGUUAGCAUUAGCGAAGCUCUUGAUCGAAGCCCGAGUAAACGGCGGCCGUAACUAUAACGGUCCUAAGGUAGCGAAAUUCCUUGUCGGUUAAAUACCGACCUGCAUGAAUGGCGUAACGAGAUGGGAGCUGUCUCAAAGAGGGAUCCAGUGAAAUUGUAGUGGAGGUGAAAAUUCCUCCUACCCGCGGCAAGACGGAAAGACCCCGUGGACCUUUACUACAGCUUGACACUGCUAUUUGGAUAAGAAUGUGCAGGAUAGGUGGGAGGCUUUGAGUAUAUGACGCCAGUUGUAUAUGAGCCAUUGUUGAGAUACCACUCUUUCUUAUUUGGGUAGCUAACCAGCUUGAGUUAUCCUCAAGUGGGACAAUGUCUGGUGGGUAGUUUGACUGGGGCGGUCGCCUCCCAAAUAAUAACGGAGGCUUACAAAGGUUGGCUCAGAACGGUUGGAAAUCGUUCGUAGAGUAUAAAGGUAUAAGCCAGCUUAACUGCAAGACAUACAAGUCAAGCAGAGACGAAAGUCGGUCUUAGUGAUCCGGUGGUUCUGUGUGGAAGGGCCAUCGCUCAAAGGAUAAAAGGUACCCCGGGGAUAACAGGCUGAUCUCCCCCAAGAGCUCACAUCGACGGGGAGGUUUGGCACCUCGAUGUCGGCUCAUCGCAUCCUGGGGCUGGAGCAGGUCCCAAGGGUAUGGCUGUUCGCCAUUUAAAGCGGUACGCGAGCUGGGUUCAGAACGUCGUGAGACAGUUCGGUCCCUAUCUGCCGUGGGCGUAAGAAGAUUGAAGAGAUUUGACCCUAGUACGAGAGGACCGGGUUGAACAAACCACUGGUGUAGCUGUUGUUCUGCCAAGAGCAUCGCAGCGUAGCUAAGUUUGGAAAGGAUAAACGCUGAAAGCAUCUAAGCGUGAAGCCAACUCUAAGAUGAAUCUUCUCUAAGCUCUCUAGAAGACUACUAGUUUGAUAGGCUGGGUGUGUAAUGGAUGAAAGUCCUUUAGCUGACCAGUACUAAUAGAGCGUUUGGCUUAUCUUU
rnacentral:rRNA from 1 species